rnacentral:rRNA from 1 species
UACGUAUGGUGCAAGCGCUGUCCGGAAUUAUUGGGCGUAAAGAGCUCGUAGGCGGUUUGUCGCGUCGAAUGUGAAAACCCGGGGCUCAACCCCGGGCCUGCAUUCGAUACGGGCAGACUAGAGUUCGGUAGGGGAGUCUGGAAUUCCUGGUGUAGCGGUGAAAUGCGCAGAUAUCAGGAGGAACACCGGUGGCGAAGGCGGCCUGCUGGGCAGUUGCUGACACUGAGGCGCGACAGCGUGGGGAGCAAACAGG